rnacentral:lncRNA from 13 species
CUCUGCUGCCAGCCCCAGAAAGGACUAGAGGAUGGUCUUAGUGCCUUAGUUGAUUUAGCAUGUGCUGGGUUGGCCGUCCAGCACCCACUUGCCAAUGGACCUUCAGAGAGGACACACUGUUAUCUCCUGAAAAGUACAUUGGCCCCUGGCCACCUAUUUCCUACAAUAUUGCGUAUACAGAAUUGCCUCUUAGAUGAGGUGCCUUGGCUAUUCCUGGUGCAUACCAGCUGCCCAGUGCCCAGCCUGUAUCCUAACAUCUCAAGGCCCACCAGGGACCUAGGCCACCCUGUCAGCCACAAAACUUACUACAGCCUUGGUUCAUCUCACAGGGCAUCAGCUGCCCAGACCCCGCAAUGCUGGAGCACUCAGUUCCUUAGACCCCUUUCAGAUGCCCUGAACUCCUAGUAUCAGUCCCCAAGGCAAGCAUGGGGUGGCCACCCACUGCGAUGUUCUUUUCAUCCCUCAGGGUCACAACAGUCCUUUGGACUCUUGGCAGGCAGCUUGUGCCUCUGGUUCCUGGCUCAGCAGCCAUGAGAAGGUGGUUUCCAGGUCACCCGGCACACUUUCCAGACAGUAGGAUACACGGCAGAGAGAAGAUCCUGCAACCAAGAGGAGGACUCCAAACUGGGAAAGAGCAGGAAGCUGUGUCUUACUGUCACUGUAGUCCCAGCACCCGGCAUAGUGCCACACACAUGACAGAUGGGUCCUGAAGUCUCCCAGACCAGUGUUGUCCUGAACUGGAGGAGGCAGUAGAGGAGGAACCAUGACCACCAUGGAAGCACGGGUUGAGAGGAAGGAUCAGGGACACUGAGUCAUCAUAUGGAGAGCAGCUGCCCUGGAAAGUUGCUGGACCCACGGUGGACUUUGGAUGAGUGAUAAAUAAAUCUUUG